AGCAGCCGCGGUAAUUCCAGCUCCAAUAGCGUAUAUUAAAGUUGUUGCAGUUAAAAAGCUCGUAGUUGAAUUUCGGGAUCAAUACGUCGGUCGUGCUUCGGUACGUACUGGCGUAAUUGAUUUCUCCCUUCUGACGAACCAUGAUGUCAUUAACUUGGUGUCAUGGGAAAUCAGGACUGUUACUUUGAAAAAAAUUAGAGUGUUUAAAGCAAGCUAACGCUUGAAUACAUUAGCAUGGAAUAAUGAAAUAGGACGUUCGAUCCUAUUUUGUUGGUUUCUAGGAUUGACGUAAUGAUUAAUAGGGAUAGUUGGGGGGCAUUAGUAUUCAAUUGUCAGAGGUGAAAUUCUUGGAUUUAUUGAAGACUAACUACUGCGAAAGCAUUUGCCAAGGAUGUUUUCAUUAAUCAAGAACGAAAGUUAGGGGAUCGAAGACGAUCAGAUACCGUCGUAGUCUUAACCAUAAACUAUGCCGACUAGGGAUCGGAUGAUGUUAAUUUUUAAUGACUCAUUCGGCGCCUUA
rnacentral:rRNA from 1 species